rnacentral:misc_RNA from 1 species
GGCAAACAUAGGUUUAUGUGGAAAGCAGUCAGGAAAUAUUACUUAUGUUUCCUGGAUGAUAGUAGCUUCUGUUGAUGAAAAAUCGGUUAAAUUAUAUUCUCACAUUUAAAAAUGAGAAUUUUUCUGUUGAUUCCUUAUUAUUUGCCUGUUAUUUUGGAGGGAUGAAAUAGUAGGGAAGAAAAACCCCCUCUUACACAAUUACCUUGGAUUAAGUAGGAUCUAGGACUUGGUGUGGUGGAUAGUGUCUUUAAUAGCCAUUUUUGUGAUUCUCGUGCAAAUAACUGUGUUGUUCUACUGACACUGCCUUGGACAUUAAAUGAUACUUCUACCUGCCCAAAAGAAAAAGGUAUACUUGUGUUUUAUGCCCUCUUACAUAGCAGAAAAUUACAAUUGCAG